UACUUCUGUCUUGUGCUCAUAUCGGAUAAAUCUUUCGCCUUUUACUAAAGAUUUCCGUGGAUGCGGGACACAAAGGAAGAUUACCCUAAUUUUUUGAUAACCCAAUUUCCCAAGAAUUAAU
rfam:Parasitella parasitica strain CBS 412.66 genome assembly, contig: contig_20959